rnacentral:tRNA from 1 species
GGACGGUUAGCUCAGCUGGUAGAGCAUCUCGUUGACGUCGAGAGGGUCAGUGGUUCGAACCCACUACCGUCCA